GCUGGGAUAGCUCAGUCAGGAGAGCAUGAGACUCUUAAACUCUGGGUUGUGGAUUUGAGCCCCACAUUGGGCA